AGGGAUCAUUACAGAGAACAUCGCCCUCACGGGUGACUCUCCAACCCUUAUGUUAUUAAACCUUUGUUGCUUUGGCGAGCCGCUUCGGCCACCGGCUUCUGCUGGUGUGCGCUCGCCAGAGGACCCCAAACUCUGUUUAUUAGUGUCGUCUGAGUACUAUAUAAUAGUUAAAACUUUCAACAACGGAUCUCUUGGUUCUG
rnacentral:misc_RNA from 1 species